GUCAGGAUGGCCGAGUGGUCUAAGGCGCCAGACUCAAGCUUCUGUCUUCCUCCUCUCGGGGCUUCUGGUCUCCAUGUGGAGGCGUGGGUUCAAAUCCCACUUCUGACA
rfam:Camelus ferus unplaced genomic scaffold scaffold2639, whole genome shotgun sequence.